AUUGAACGCUGGCGGCAGGCCUAACACAUGCAAGUCGAACGAGUGGCGGACGGGUGAGUAAUGUCUGGGACACUGCCUGAUGGAGGGGGAAAGCUAAUGGAAACGGUAGCUAAUACCGCAUACCAUCGGAUGUGCCCAGAUGGGAUUUGUGAGUAGGUGGGGUAACGGCUCACCUCGGUGACGAACCCUAGCUGGUCUGAGAGGAUGACCAGCCACACUGGAACUGAGACACUGUCCAGACUCCUACGGGAGGAAGCAGUGGGGAAUAUUGGACAAUGGGCGCAAGCCUGAUGCAGCCAUGCCGCGUGUAUGAAGAAGGCCUUCGGGUUGUAAAGUACUUUCAGCGGGGAGGCGUUACCCGCAGAAGAAGCACCGGCUAACUCCGUGCCAGCAGCCGCGGUAAUUC
rnacentral:rRNA from 1 species